rnacentral:tRNA from 2 species
GGAGAGAUGACCGAGAGGCUGAAGGUGCACGCCUGGAAAGCGUGUGUACCCGCAAGGGUACCGAGGGUUCGAAUCCCUCUCUCUCCGCCA